rnacentral:rRNA from 1 species
CCUACGGGCGGCAGCAGUGGGGAAUAUUGCACAAUGGGGGAAACCCUGAUGCAGCGACGCCGCGUGAGUGAGGAAGUAUUUCGGUAUGUAAAGCUCUAUCAGCAGGGAAGAAAAUGACGGUACCUGACUAAGAAGCCCCGGCUAACUACGUGCCAGCAGCCGCGGUAAUACGUAGGGGGCAAGCGUUAUCCGGAUUUACUGGGUGUAAAGGGAGCGUAGACGGCAGCACAAGUCUGGAGUGAAAUGCCGGGGCUUAACCCCGGAACUGCUUUGGAAACUGUGCAGCUAGAGUGCAGGAGAGGUAAGUGGAAUUCCUAGUGUAGCGGUGAAAUGCGUAGAUAUUAGGAGGAACACCAGUGGCGAAGGCGGCUUACUGGACUGUAACUGACGUUGAGGCUCGAAAGCGUGGGGAGCAAACAGGAUUAGAUACCCCAGUAGUC